UGUGGCUUCUAGACGAAGAGAGAGGGCUUUAGCUAAGAUCUUUGCAUCGCAGUUGAGGAGAGAGAUGGGUUGGUACGAGCUACAGUCUUUACCUGGUUUGAGCAGAAGGGUAAUUGAUGCUUCGGUUAAUGUCUGGGGUAGUGAGCCACAGGAUAGGGUCAUUAAGCAUAUCAAGUAGUAUUGGGGAUAGUUUGUUUGAGAAUUUUUUAUAAAACUCUAUAGGGUACCCGUCUGGGCCUGGAGCCUUUCCAUUUUGCAUUGAGUGUAUUGCAUUAGUGAUUUCUUUAUGGUCCAGUGGAAGCUCAGCAUUGGUCCUGUGUAUUUCUGUUACUAAGGGGGAUUCUAAGUUAUUUAAAAACAUUUUCAUUUCCGAGCAAUCUUCUGUCAUUUCUGACAUAUACAGGUCGGAGUAAAAGGAAGUAAAUACUUUGUUGAUUUCUGCUGGGUCAAUAGUCAGUGUGCCAUCUUUUUUUGUUAUUUGGGGGAUAAGUUGAGCAGCUGAACGACACUUCAGUUGGUGUGCUAAGAAACGUCCAGCUUUGUCGCCAUGUUCAUAGAGGUAUCCCCGUGAUUUUAACAGGAGCUGUUCUGUUUUUUCAGUUGCUAUCAAAUUAUAUUUUGUUUGGAGGUCUAGUCUCUUUUUAUAGAAUUCAGGGGAGGGAGAAGCACAAUACUGAGCAUCCACUUUAGAUAUAGAUGUAAUAAGCUCUUCUUGUGUGGUCCUUUUCAUUUUGUUUAUUUUAGCUGAAUAUGAAAUAAUCUCACCUCUGAUAACAGCCUUUAAUGUUUCCCAGAGGAUAGAAGGGGAGAUGUCAUCUUUUUGGUUAGUUUCUAUGAAGUAUUCUUUGGGAUAUAAUUUUGCAAAAAAUAUCUUCAGCCAAGAAGUUUCUGUCAAAAUUCCGGGGGGGGCGUUCCAAUUUAUAGUAAGGAAACACAAGAUCCAGUAGUACAGGGGCGUGGUCAGAUUCAAUUAUAGAUGAGUAUUCAACUUCUGAAACAAAUUAGAAAAGAUUCUGGUCAACGUAAAAAUAGUCUAUUCGACUAUAUGAAUGAUGUACAAGGGAAAAAAAAGAAUAUGAUUUACUUUGUGGAUACAAAACACGGUCAACACAUCCUAUCUCGUUCAUAAAAUUUGAUAGGAGUUUGGCUUUUUUGGAAAUGUUUGUUGAUUUAGGAUUGGAGCGAUCAAGUGUUGGAUUUAUUACACAGUUCAAGUCUCCACCAAAAAUUAACUGGUGUGAGUUUAGGUCAGGAAUCAAUGACAUUACCUUACCUAUAAAUUAUUCAUCAUCCUAAUUUGGGGCGUAGAUGUUUACCAAGACCACAGGCUUAUGAUACAGGAGCCCAGACACAAUCACAAACCGCCCUUGAGGGUCUGAAAUAAUGGUGGUUACAGCAAACUGGAUUUUUUUAUGAAAUAAUAUGACUGUUCUGCAGGUUUUAGAAGUAAGAUUAGAAUGAAAUAUAUUAUCAACCCAACUUUUUUUUAAGUCUGACUUGGUCUUUAACCAGUAAGGGAGUUUCCUGAAGAAAGGCAAUAUCACAUUUCAAAUGUUUAAGGUGAUUAAGUAUUCUAGCUCGUUUAACGGGUCCAUUUAAACCUUUUACAUUCCAAGUAAUGAAACGUACAGGAGCUCCUCCUGCAUCAGCAGCGUUCACCAUAUAAAAAAUAAAAGAGAAAAAGACCCAGAAGUGACAGCCAGGGUGCACACCUUAUUAAUUACUUUAUCAAAGCAAAAGAGCAGUCCAUGCUGCAGGAGAGUGAUGACGUCCCCUUCCCCACCCCGUUUAAACCUGAACUAAGAACUAAGCCUAUACCUGUCCUUCUCCAUGAGGCAAGCUGCAGGUUAAACACUAUUUUUCCUACGAACGUCUGGUAGCACAUUUCCUUGUGUUAUGCAUAGGGCUCCCAGCUCUAGAACAUAAGCACUAAAAUUCAGACAAUCAUUAGUGAACAACUGAAGUGUUAACUAAUUAUUUAAAGGGGGAAAAAAAACAACUAAAUAAUAAUGACAAUAAAAAAAAAGAAAUUAGAGUGACGAAUUUAAGCUACAGACAUAUAGACCACUAAUCAUGUCUUGGCAUAUGUAUAAACCUCAGAUCCUGAGGCUGAAUAUGUUUAAAAAAUAAAAAAAAACACAUAAGAACGAAAAAACAAAUGUAAUAAAAGUAAAAUAAAACACACACACACACACACACACACGCGUAUAAACUAAGGAUCCCGACGCACGACGGUGGUUACGUCAGUUAGUGGUUUUUGGCUUAAGAUAGCAUGAAAUACUCACACUUUGAGUCCAGUGUCAACAUGCUCAAAUUUCUGGCCGUAAAAUGUCUGCGCUUCGUCAGGCCAGUCGAAAGUCAGUCCGUUAUUGUUGAACAUCACUCGCAGCCGGGCCGGUAGAGCAGGUGGAAUUUGACGUUCUUCUGCUACAACGCUCGUUUGACUCCGUUAAACGCAGCUCUGGUAAACUCUGAUGGUGGCACCUUGGUAUUUCAGCUCAUGACUCCGCGCCCUUCUUUUUGCUGGAACCUAGAAAAGCAGACCAGGAACGUGCGAGGAGAUGAUCUUAGGCCGGGUUUGGAGGUCGGGGUCCGGUGUGCUCUCUCAAGCUCAGGCGGCGCGGGGGAAACUUCUGGUCCCAUCAGCUGCAUCAGCACAUCCGACAUGAACUUCACGGGGUCUUUGCCGUUUCCGCUGCCUUCGGGGAUGUUCAGAAUGCAGAGAUUAGAUCUCCGUGAGCGGUUUUCCAGGUCGUCACAUCGAUCCAAAAGCUCCUGGUUGUGAUUCUGGAGCAUUCUGAUGGCAGAUUCCGCAAUGGUGAGCCGCUCAAAGUUAUCGCCAGCAACCCCCUCCACGGAGGCCUCGCGGGCUGGUGUCCUACACGUUUUACAACCAACCUACAAUUGAAGCUCCUUAUAGGCUAAACAGACCUGAUCCAGGUAAUCAGCAGCAAAUAAGCAGCAGUCACUGACUGCAAGUUGGAACGAUUUCGGCGCCUUUCAGCGAAAAUAUGACCCCCGCCACGUCUCGAAAAGUCACCAAAGUGUUAACACACCUCAGAUAAAUUGAAAAUGAAGUUUCCACAAAGUCAC